rnacentral:lncRNA from 1 species
AGCAGCCCAGCUGUUCCAGGUGUCUGUCACCAGGCGCGGCAGGGCCCUGAUGAGGGGCAGGGAUGUACUAACUGCCUCCAAUUUCCUUCCCUUGUAGAAGGCAUUAGUCUUCUGAAUAAGGUUAAAAUCUCUCAAAGAACCUUAAAAGAUCUGGUGCCUAACUCAGCAUCCCCACUGACUUCCACUGACGACCACUAGUCCAAGCCCAGGGAUGAGUCGGAAGCUGGGACAGGAGAAAGCUUGGUGGACCUCCCUUUCCAGCCACUGAGGUACUUCACGCCUCUUAGAAAGAUGAGGGUAUCGCGUGUACUUUAGCUCCACACGGAGCUGUGCCUCUCAGGGACACAGCUACUGCUCAGUACUGUGCUGGCUCAGACUCCUGGCCACACCACGCCUCCUCUGUGGACAGGGACCAGCGGUGAACAGGGCUGCGUGGACCUGAGUUAGCACCGGGCAGCCCAAGGCUGAGAGCCGGAGCAAAGCGAAAGCCUUCUGCCUUCACACUGCAGAAGGCCCCAACACCAAUACUGGCUGAGCACUUCAACUAGAAGCAUCAGGACAGGCAACGCCAUUAGGACUUAAGUUCUUAAACAGAUGAUGAGUAGAAGCUCUGAGAGGUUAAGAGGCCUGGCAAGAUCACACAGCCAGAAAAUAAGCCAGAGUAAGAGGCUAGAAGUGUACUGUGAGACUCAAGCAAGACAAUAAAUUGGAGGAUUCUGGAUCCACUGCUGGAAUCUGUCUGAACAACAUUAACACAAGAAGGCCUUUUCAGAGUGAAGGUGACGUUGAGCGACCCUGAGAUGCAGUGGACAGCUGCUCGCACCUUCUCACGCUAAACAGGAGCUGCACCUAAGCCAAUCCACCAUCUGUCCCCAGCCACAUGGGGAAGGGGCUUCCUGGGGGGGGGGGAUGCACAUUACAUGCCUUCUAGAAAGCUGAUUGUCACAUGUUCCUAUUCCUGUUUCUCAUUCAUUUCCACAUCCUCCUCACUCCCCAGCCCUAACUCCCAGGCCGCUGCUGCCCCUUUCUUACUGCUAGGUCCUCACUCACUCCUGGGACCUUAUCUC